rnacentral:rRNA from 1 species
ACGGGAGGCAGCAGUGAGGAAUAUUGGUCAAUGGGCGCAAGCCUGAACCAGCCAUGCCGCGUGAAGGAUGAAGGAUCUAUGAUUUGUAAACUUCUUUUAUACUGGGGUAACCCCGGGCACGCGUGCCCGGCUGAAAGUACAGUAUGAAUAAGCAUCGGCUAACUCCGUGCCAGCAGCCGCGGUAAUACGGAGGAUGCAAGCGUUAUUCGGAUUUAUUGGGUUUAAAGGGUGCGUAGGCGGAACGGUAAGUUAGAGGUGAAAUCUCCGUGCUUAACAUGGAAAGUGCCUCUGAUACUGCCGGUCUUGAGAGUCAGUGCUGUGGGCGGAAUGUGUGGUGUAGCGGUGAAAUGCUUAGAUAUCACACAGAACACCGAUUGCGAAAGCAGCUCACAAACUGAUGUCUGACGCUGAGGCACGAAAGCGUGGGGAGCAAACAGGAUUAGAUACCCUGGUA